AAUAUGGCAACUGCUUGCUACCCAUACAGCCAUGGUGUUCAGUUCAGAGACCGCAGAGUAAUCUUUUAGGCUUUUAGAAGAUUUGGACCUGUCAUGUAUGUCAAGUUUAGCGGGAAAUUUGAGGAGUUAUUUUCCCCAGAGACAUUUUUCCUCAUCACCUGCAUGAGUCAGAGAAAGAUUUUCCCAAUGCCACUCACAGAAGUGUUACAGAAAUUGUCAGCCUCCACACAUGCAUCUUCCCCCUUGCCCCCCAGCUGAAAGCUACAUGUUUGUGCAGAUUGAGUGUUCCUCUGGUAUCACAGAAAUUAUUUAAAUGGGCUGCAGAAAUAAGAAUCAGGGGGAAAAUGGAGGGAGACACACCAGCUGCAGUUUCUCUCCAGCUGUCAUUCACCAGAACCAUUGCAAAUUUGCACAAACACCACGGCUGCUGCAUUACCAAUGGGCAAAAAGGGGAUAAGGGAGUACAACGUGCUAAAUAAUACAGCCCUUGCUCAGGGUCUUUACAGGCUGAAAAUGCACAGGUCGGAUGCAAAGCUAGUCCAAGGCUUGGGUCUUCUUGACAUUAUGCCUGUUCAUGCUACAGCAGGUUUGGCCCACGAUGUUGCAUGUUCGGCUUUCACAGAGAUGAUACAUCAUAGCAGAGGGUUGUUUUUUUCUUCUGCCUUAAUCCUGCAAAUAUUUGUUUCUGAAGUUUUUAUACCCUUCCUUGGCAUUGCUAUUGUUGAAGAGUCUCAUCAGUGAGGAGGGCUGCGAGGAUCUGGCCGUAAGGCAGUAUAAUCUUGGGGUACUAUGUGAACAAUAGCCUAUUUUACCAUCUGGCAAAACACUUAGCCACACAUCUACAGGUGAGAAGAGGAAUGCUGCUGAAGUCCAUAGCGCCACAUGGGAAGGAGGCGACUCAAGCUGCUGUUCAGGGUUGGGCAUUGAGUCACGUUCAUCCCUGGCAGCUGGGAGGUAGGGUCAGGUGUUAGUUCCUGCAGCUCACCGCCUGCUCCGGGGCUCUGCUUCCACCGCUCCCAGGAGGAAUGGGUCUGAACUUCGUCACUGUUCUGGCUGUUCUGGCAGUCGUGGUUGGUCAGACAUCCGAGACCUUGUUCCCUGGGGCCUUUAACUGUUGCAUGAAAAUUUCAGAUGAAAUUCCCAAAGGAAUUCUCCGAAGAGUGGAGAGGUUUGAAAUCCAGAGAGCUGAUGGCCUGUGUCACCUAGAAGCUGUUAUUCUGUACAUAGGAGGCAGAAAGUUCUGUGUGAGCCCACGGAUUAGAAAAGUUAAAAAAUGGAUGAAGAAGAAGAAGCACAAGAUUCCCAGAAAAAAAACUCAUGGUGGAAAGCAGAGAAGAACUAAAAUUAUUAAAAAGAAAUUAAACAAACAGUAAUGUGAUGAAGCAAGCCCCAUGAUGAAGACACCUAUGGCAUAAGGCACUGCGAACAAAGAUACCAGACUUCAUCAACAAUGGAUGAUUGCAGCAUUAACAUGACUUUUCAGAUAUCUAUGUGCUACAGAUAGCAGUGGCAGAAAACCUCACCUGUACACAAGAACAAUGCUGGUCAGAUUAGCAGUCAAAUGGCAAGGUGUUCCUGCCAAGGGCAUGUAGCAAGUGCUCACUGUACCUCUGAGAUCUACUGGUAGACUUAAAUCCUCUUCUCUCCCACUCUGCUUUCAUGGCAACCUUCCCUGUGAUUUCUAUUUUAACAACCCAGCAUGCAGUUCCUUCUCAUUGCUCCAUUUUCCCAGUCCCAUUCUUGACCCUUAUUCUUCCUUCUCUGCAAUCAUCUUUGUGCUGUUGCCUGUUUUGUUUCUAUUCUUCCAGUCAGUAAUCUUUUCAAAAAACAUAAUUAUCUUUUUUGAUGAGCUCACAGCCUUCUAACAGGGAUGCGGCAGCUCAUCUAACUCUUCUUCCAGUUUCUAGGGAAUAUUGUGUACACCACGUACACUGGCGUAGCUCCACCCUCUGCCUGCUGAAAUGACACGCGGGAAGCCUUCUGCCAGGAGCCAGAGCUGGGAUUGCCCCGCUGACUCGCAAUGUGUACAGAAGCUCUUCCUCCCCAGCACCGAGUCCGGCAUGCUGGGGUGGCAGAGGGUAUGGCCCUGGCUGAGACAAGCUGAAAUGGCACGUUUUCCACCACUUCAUUUGCACCCUGGGGCUGCACUGCCUGGACACCAUACAGAUCCAGCGAAUGGGGUAUUAGGCAGAAUCCAGUCCUCCUGAGCUCAGGUCAGCAGAGCACCAGGAAUGCUAAACUGCUGAAAUACAUUGCACUAUGGUACCAGUAUCUUCCCGUUUCUGGCAGUUCUGUUUAUUUUCUUCUUCAUGUUCUUCUCUGGAUUCCAGAUUUUACCUUCAUGCUUCCCUCCCGAGUCACAGAUGUCUGGGUCUUCGGAGUGCGUGUUAUCUUGCAUCAGGUUCUCUUGGAUUCAACAGAUCAAACUGAGAGAUUAUGAGAUGACAGUAGUCCUCUCCCAGCUGCCAACUGUGUUUCAUGUUCGGGUUCCUGUGCAUUCUUUUAGGAAUUGAAUUAGAAAUAACUUCAACUAGUCAUUCAAUCAAAAAAAAGCUUUCUUCCCUGUUAUUGGUACAUGAAGUAUCAAAACCACACUUGAAAGGUCUACUGUCUGGUACAGUUUCAUUUAUCCCUGAACCCUGACAUACAAAAAACAUUAAAAAAAACACCUUACAGUUUCCAGACCUUCACUUGAGUGACUUUACACUCUCCGUACCUAAGCAUUAUUUUUGACCUUUGCUAUUUUGUACCUGGGAACAAAAUAAAAUCAAUACUUUCUUUCAGUAAA